AUUGCUUUUGUCUCAAAAUGUAACUAAGCACAUACAGCCAUCUCGUAUACAAGGGAGAGGACGAAGAUUCUAUACUGUACUGUCGAAGAGAAUUGUUUACAUAUUGACGAUAUCUAGGUCAAACUAAACCAAAACGUAACCGAAACCAACUAAAAAAGCCCCAUUGUUUGCAUGAGAAAACGUGUUGUAUUAUAGGAAGCCUGGGGCGCCUCCAACGCGGUGAAUGUGACUUUGCUGUGGGAAUGUUUGGACUCUUGCCGACUAGAAUCCAAUACCUACAACCCACUUGCACUGUCGUCGAGGUGACGCAGGAGAUACACAUUCGUUGCCAAGGUAACCAACGUAAACGCGGCCACCUGUCUACCAUACUCGCAAGGCUGUGGCUAUCCGGAUUAGAGGCCUUGCUGGUCUUGGCGGCUGUCACGACGAUCAUCGCCAAGGUCCUCGUGGCACGCUACUCGUUGUCCUCACCGAGAACCUCAUCGUGGUGGACUGCCGCUAUUUCUAGGUUCGAUCGCGAACCACCGCGAUUUUCUUAACGGUUUUUCCGUUUGUACGUUCGUUAUGGACUUUUUCGUUCAACAAUGAAUGUUUACUUGCGCAGUGUGUAAAUUUAAGAUUUUGUUCAGAACACUCUCAGCCCGUUAAAGACAUUUUGCAAAUAGACAAGGAACAAGGUUCAUACAGGAGUAAUACGGGUGUAUGUCAUCCCCCACUUUUUUAAAACACCUAAUUUAAUUGA